GACGGAGGGUGCAAGCGUUGUUCGGAUUGACUGGGCGUAAAGGGCGUGUAGGCGGUUGGUCGAGUCCGAUGUGAAAGGCCCGGGGCUCAGCUUCGGAAGUGCAUCGGAAACUAGCCAGCUGGAGCGCGAUAGAGGAGGGCGGAAUUCCUGGAUGUAGCGGUGAAAUGCGUAGAUAUCAGGAGGAACACCGGCGGCCGAAGGCGGCCCUCUGGAUCGUUGCUGACGCUGGAGACGCGAAAGCGUGGGGAGCAAACAGG
rnacentral:rRNA from 1 species